rnacentral:rRNA from 1 species
UGGGGAAUAUUGGACAAUGGGCGAAAGCCUGAUCCAGCCAUGCCGCGUGUGUGAAGAAGGUCUUCGGAUUGUAAAGCACUUUAAGUUGGGAGGAAGGGCAGUAAGCGAAUACCUUGCUGUUUUGACGUUACCGACAGAAUAAGCACCGGCUAACUCUGUGCCAGCAGCCGCGGUAAUACAGAGGGUGCAAGCGUUAAUCGGAAUUACUGGGCGUAAAGCGCGCGUAGGUGGUUCGUUAAGUUGGAUGUGAAAGCCCCGGGCUCAACCUGGGAACUGCAUCCAAAACUGGCGAGCUAGAGUAGGGCAGAGGGUGGUGGAAUUUCCUGUGUAGCGGUGAAAUGCGUAGAUAUAGGAAGGAUCACCAGUGGCGAAGGCGACCACCUGGGCUCAUACUGACACUGAGGUGCGAAAGCGUGGGGAGCAAACAGG